UUACUUACCUGGACGGGGUCUAUCAUUGAUCACGAAGGAUAAUGGCCUAGGAUAGUGACUUCCAUUACACUUUGUAAGGGUGCUAGCCUAAGAUCUCUCGAUUGAGGGAGAAUCUACGUCAUAAUUUCUUCCUACGAGGGGUACGCGUUCGCGCGGACCCUGC